rnacentral:misc_RNA from 1 species
AACGCAUAUUGCACUCUCUUUACGGAGAGUAUGCCUGUUUGAGAAUCUAAAGUAUUUAUUUUCUAAGUUUACUGAGUAAUCGGUUUGCUAAGAGAGAUGUGAGGCUUCUCUAUUCGAGUGCCUUGAAAUUAAUAACUGGUUACGGUGUAGAAAUGUUUGAUUCCCUACAAAGUCGACCAAAAGUAUUUGAAUGAAACUAGCGUUUCUCAUAAUGCCGAGUAGAAGACAGUGGGGGUUAGUUUCUAUAGCGAAGUCGGUCCAUAUACAUAAAGCCUAGACCGUAAAAAGUCUUUGCUUGAACCAUGGUCUCAAAUCAGGUAGGAAUACCCGCUGAACUUAA